rnacentral:tRNA from 1 species
GUUAGAGUAGCAAAACUUGGCCCUUGCAGAAGACCUAAGCCCUUCUUAUAGAGGUUCAAAUCCUCUCUCUAACU